rnacentral:rRNA from 1 species
UACGUAGGGGGCAAGCGUUAUCCGGAUUUACUGGGUGUAAAGGGAGCGUAGGUGGCAGGGCAAGUCAGAUGUGAAAACCCGGGGCUCAACUCCGGGAGUGCAUUUGAAACUGUCCAGCUGGAGUGCAGGAGAGGUAAGCGGAAUUCCUAGUGUAGCGGUGAAAUGCAUAGAUAUUAGGAGGAACACCAGUGGCGAAGGCGGCUUACUGGACUGUAAAUGACACUGAGGCUCGAAAGCGUGGGGAGCAAACAGG